rnacentral:tRNA from 1 species
GCAUUGGGGCUUCAGUGGUAGAAUUCUUGCCUUCCACGCAGGAUACCCGGGUUUGAUUGCCAGUCAGUGCA